AGAGACAGCAGCAGCCACGGGAAUACGAAGGGGGCUAGCGUUGUUCGGAAUUACUGGGCGUAAAGCGCACGUAGGCGGACAUUUAAGUCAGGGGUGAAAUCCCGGGGCUCAACCCCGGAACUGCCUUUGAUACUGGGUGUCUAGAGUAUGGAAGAGGUGAGUGGAAUUCCGAGUGUAGAGGUGAAAUUCGUAGAUAUUCGGAGGAACACCAGUGGCGAAGGCGGCUCACUGGUCCAUUACUGACGCUGAGGUGCGAAAGCGUGGGGAGCAAACAGGAUUAGAUACCCCAGUAGUCCCUGUCUCUUAUCC
rnacentral:rRNA from 1 species